rnacentral:rRNA from 1 species
UUAUUUUAGCGGCGGACGGGUGAGUAACGUGUGGGUAACCUGCCUUUUACUGUGGAAUAAUCGUUGGAAACGACGACUAAUACCGCAUACGAUUUUCUGAAGGCAUCUUUGGGAAAAGAAAGGAAAUAUUCGGUAAAAGAUGGGCCCGCAUCUGAUUAGCUAGUUGGUGAGAUAAUAGCCCACCAAGGCAACGAUCAGUAGCCGACCUGAGAGGGUGACCGGCCACAUUGGGACUGAGACACGGCCCAAACUCCUACGGGAGGCAGCAG